GCUGGGCGUGGUGGCGCCCGCCUGUAACCCCAGCUACUCGGGAGCUGAGGCAAGAGAAUCGCUUGAAUCCAGGAGGCAGAGGCUGCAGUGAGCCGAGAUCACACCACUGCACUCCAGCCUGGGCGACAGAGCAAGACUUUGUCUCAA
rnacentral:SRP_RNA from 1 species